UAAGGAGACUAUACUUGAGCCCAUUGGCCAUGGGAACUUGCUGAGAAGUUCUAAUCAAGGACAUAUUCAUAGGCAGACCAUCUGGUUGAAGUGGGAGGAGAUAUUUGAAGAGAAUGUCUGUGAAGAAGUGAAAGGGGUGAUGAAAGAGAACUCUCUAGUGAGAGAUGAUUAUGGAGCCCUUCUGAGUGAUGGCAAGAGUUGUGUGGCUGUCUGGGAACUAAAAAGGAAUAAGAUUAAUUUAAAUAUAAGCCGAGACACCCCAUUAUUUGAGAAGGAUACACUUGGGAGAUUGUCUUGUAAACUGAGUGAAAGAGCUGCCAGACACCAUCUCCUGGAAAUGCCUAGAAGAGACAGGAAGCUAAGAGGAAAACAGCAAACCGUGGAAGAGAGAUCUGCCAGUCUGCAUCGUAUCACCCACCUCCCCAACCUGGGCUCCUCAUACUGACUCAAUUUUUCUGGUUAGUAAUUCCAGUACCAUGUUGAAAAGUGGCAAGAGUGAACAUCCCUGUCUUGUUCCUGGUCUUAGAAGAAAAUUUUGAAACUUUCAUCAUUGAGUAUAAUGUUGGUGUGGAUUUGCCACAUAUGGCCUUUAUUUUGUAGAGAAAACUAUUGUUUUACUCUGAUGCUUUUGCAAAAGUGUUUCAUCUUCAAGAGAUCCAUGGAAAUGACUGACAAGUCAAGAGUUAAUUACAUGGAAAUGAAUGAACUGAUGAGGAAGAUAUAUAAUUUUAUGUCUUUUUCUUUAGAACAUUGUUUAUAUUCUCUUGAAGAUUAAAGGAAGUCUUUUCUCUUAAGCCGUCUAUGACUUACAGCAAUUUGAGACUAUGGAAUCCCAGAGAAUGUGAUCCGAGCUGUGAAACCCAGGGUAAAUGAAAAGGAACCCGACCCUUGGCUCCUCUGCUCUUGCAAACUCUCUCUAAAAGUCAUCAAAAGCUUAAGUUGACCCUUGCAAGCCCUCCAACCCCUCUCAGCUUCAGCCAACAAGACACAGUUGGCCUAUGACCGGCACCUCUGUAAUCACUUAGAGGCUGCUAGGCUUUUAGCAAAGCAUCUCUUCUAACUUCUCAAGUGUUGUUCUUUUACUUGUUUUACUUUUAGACAAUCUUAUGAACCAGCUCCAGUGAGCAGAGAGGCAGCAGGGACAACCCAUCAAUAAAAUAAUUCAGCCAAAGUCAAUUUUGUUAGAGACUUCUCAUGUUGUACUAGGAAAUCUAGGCUACUAAAAAUCAGGGAAAUCAAAUGGAAUCAUUUAUUUUGGUUCUAAAAGGAAAGCUAGCUUUAAAACUAUCUCUUUCAGAUAUCCCAUGCUCUUGGAUUGAAAGAAUUAGUAUUGUUAAAAUGACCAAACUACCCAAAGCAAUCUACAGAUUUAAUGUAAUCCCUAUCAAAUUACCCAUGACAUUUUUCAUAGAAUACUCUUAAAAUUUAUGUGGAACCACAAAAGCGUCAGAUUUCCCAAAGCAGCCCUACAGAAAAAGAACAAAGCAGCAUGCAGCACCCUCCCAGACUUCAGAUGAUACUAUAAAGCUACAGUAAUCAAAACAGAGUGAUAUUGGUACAAAAACAGACAUAUGGAUCAACGGCACA